GUGCCAGCAGCCGCGGUAAUACGGAGGGGGCAAACGUUGUUCGGAAUUACUGGGCGUAAAGGGUGCGUAGGCGGUUCGGUAAGUCUAGCGUGAAAUCUCACCGCUCACCGGUGAAACGGCGCUGGAAACUGCCGAGCUCGAGAGUGGAAGAGGCAGGUGGAAUUCCAGGUGUAGCGGUGGAAUGCGUAGAUAUCUGGAAGAACACUCGUGGCGAAGGCGGCCUGCUGGUCCAUUUCUGACGCUGAGGCACGAAAGCCAGGGGAGCGAACGGGAUUAGAAACCCUAGUAGUCC
rnacentral:rRNA from 1 species